rnacentral:rRNA from 1 species
AUUGAACGCUGGCGGCAGGCCUAACACAUGCAAGUCGAGCGGAUGAAGGGAGCUUGCUCCUGGAUUCAGCGGCGGACGGGUGAGUAAUGCCUAGGAAUCUGCCUGGUAGUGGGGGAUAACGUCCGGAAACGGGCGCUAAUACCGCAUACGUCCUGAGGGAGAAAGUGGGGGAUCUUCGGACCUCACGCUAUCAGAUGAGCCUAGGUCGGAUUAGCUAGUUGGUGGGGUAAAGGCCUACCAAGGCGACGAUCCGUAACUGGUCUGAGAGGAUGAUCAGUCAAACUGGAAACGAGACAAGGGCCCAAACCCUAAGGGGGGGCGGAGUGGGGAAAAUUGGGAAAAGGGGGAAAACCCUAACCCGCCAAGGCCGGGGGGUGAAAAAAGGCUUUGGAUUUGUAAACCAUUUUAUUUUGGGAGAAAAGGAGUUAAAUUAACUCCGUACUUUUUGAACGUACCCAACAAGAAAGGCACCGGUAACCUUGGG